rnacentral:tRNA from 1 species
GCCCUUGGCUCAGUGGAUAGAGCGCCGGCCUGCAGACUGGGGGGGUCGUAGGUUCGAUUCCAGCCAAGGGCA